GGCCUCGUAGCUCAGCUGUUAGAGCAUGCUCGUACAAAGCGUAGGCGGCGUCCACGCGUGGGUUCAAAUCCCACCGAGGCUA
rfam:Echinostoma caproni strain Egypt genome assembly, scaffold: ECPE_scaffold0006192